GAUAAAUGUCAAUUAUCAUGUGGUCCUCUUUUUUCAAAAUGACGAUCGAAGAAUAGACGUGUGUCGAUGCAUGUGCGCAGUGUUUUAACGGACAAUGCGAUAGCGGAGGCUUUAAAUGAUUCUGACUUUGACUUUUCGGGAGAUGAUUCAGAUGAAGAUCCGGAGUUAGUGCCGCCAGAGUUUAACCAAAGAGCUAAUGAUCAUCGAACCAGUGAGUCAAAACAAUUCUUUCUCGAUGCAGUCACCACUGCCGCAAGCUAGUUUCCCUUCAGGACAGAUGGGUUCAUCGGUCUUCAAAAUUGGUAAAAUUUUUCUUGGUUCUGAAAAUAUAGCAUUGUUAUCCUCGGAACCUACUGAAGAACUUUCUAGGACUUGUGAAUAAUUUCAAGUAUUUGUGAAAAACACGUUAUUAUAUAAUAAUAAAGUGACCAACAUUUUGA